rnacentral:sRNA from 1 species
GCUGAACUCUGCUGGUAAAAAUUGAAAGAGAGACAAGGAUUGUUCUAUAGCUUGCUGGUAUAAUACCCGACCACCCAUUCGCGGCAAUCGCCUCCGGCGAUAAGCAGUAUGAGGUUUCUUUUUCCUUCGCUCUUCUUCAAGGUUCCUUUGGUAGUCUUCUUAUAUAUUUGAUAUCUCCACCGUUCGCGCCCAAUUUUGUUACUCGCAGGGAUCUCAUAUCCACAGUGGAUCAGAUACAAAAGAAUCACAAAACAUGGAUUCUCUUUCGACAAUCAAGGUAAGAAGAGAGGGACAAUUGACAUGAGUGCAUGGUGAGUAACCACCGUAGAUACCCUAUACAUUAGACUGGUUGCAUACAGUGGCCGUCCGU